UGCUGAGAUUAUUAGAAAGAUUGUGCUUUAUUUUAUUGCUGGGGUCUCCCCACAAGAGUAGAAAAACAGGGAAUGCUUUUAGCUGCUUUGUACACCAAUAUGUUUGAUUUAUGACCCCAUUGCAAAAAUGUCCUGCAGAACAAAUAUUACCCCUAGUUUAGUGGUUUUAAACUUGAAAGUAAAGUAAGCUUUGGUCUUUGCUGGUGAUGAUGCUGUAGCGGCACGCGCACCAGCCAUUGCGUGCGGAUGAUGACGCACAGCAGCGGCGGAGAUGAUCAGCACCGCUGGCUGUGAGCAUAACAACGUCGCUGCGAAAAUACAGCGACAAGCGCACAUUAACGGAGGAAAGUGGCCUUGUGGUGUAUAAAGGCGAAAUGUCGAGGCUUUUUUAAGACGUUUACCGCAGCGUCUGCUUUACACUGAAGUAGAAGACGGGGCUGCCCGUCGUCCUAAGAGCCGUCCUGGAGAUGGACAGGGGGGAUGCGGAAACCGGGAAUGACGGGAACACGAGUGAGGCAUCGGCCGUUGGUCUCUGUCUUCAACUUGAUAUCGGGGACACCGAUUCAGCCCAGAAGGCUCAAAUUACAGAGAUGCCGUCCCCAUUUGGAGCAGACCCAGCUCGUGAGAAGAAGAUUGGCCACAGGAGAGUAGAUGCCUCUGGAGAGACAACAUACAAAAAAACUACUUCCUCUGCCUUGAAAGGCGCCAUCCAGUUGGGUAUUGGAUAUACUGUAGGCAACCUCAGCUCCAAGCCUGAGAGAGAUGUUCUUAUGCAAGACUUCUAUGUGGUUGAGAGCAUCUUCUUCCCCAGCGAAGGUAGUAACCUGACUCCAGCCCACCACUACCCAGAUUUCAGGUUUAAAACCUAUGCCCCUGUAGCCUUCCGGUACUUUAGAGAGCUUUUUGGGAUCCGGCCAGAUGAUUACCUGUAUUCUCUGUGUAAUGAGCCUCUGAUUGAGCUGACAAAUCCAGGAGCUAGCGGCUCCAUAUUCUAUGUAACACGGGAUGAUGAGUUCAUCAUCAAAACUGUCCAGCACAAGGAGGCUGAGUUUCUACAGAAACUGCUUCCUGGAUACUAUAUGAACUUGAACCAGAACCCUCGGACUCUGCUGCCUAAGUUCUUUGGUCUCUAUUGUGUCCAAUGUGGAGGCAAAAACAUAAGAAUUGUUGUUAUGAACAAUAUAUUACCACGCUCCGUACGCAUGCACCUUAAGUUUGAUUUGAAGGGCUCAACAUACAAGAGGCGAGCUUCCAAGAAGGAAAGAGAGAAAUCCAAACCCACUUUUAAAGACCUGGAUUUUCUGAUUGAUGUUCCUGAGGGUCUUAUUCUGGACCAGGACACAUACAGUGCUUUGGUUAAAACACUACAAAGAGACUGCUUGGUUCUGGAGAGUUUUAAGAUUAUGGACUACAGUUUACUACUUGGCGUCCACAAUAAGGCUCUUGCGGAGAAAGACCAACAGUCCCAGGGCUCACCUGUUGGAGGUGGGGAUGAGAAGAAGCCUGCAGGCCAGAGAGCCUUAUAUUCCACUGCAAUGGAGUCAAUACAGGGAGGAUCCACAUGUAGGGACACGCUCGACCAUGAUGACACUAUGGGUGGUAUUCCGGCUGUGAGUGGUAAAGGAGAGCGCCUCCUGCUGUUCAUUGGAAUUAUUGACAUUCUGCAGUCCUAUAGACUGAUCAAGAAACUGGAGCACUCUUGGAAGUCUCUCAUACAUGAUGGAGACACUGUGUCUGUUCACAGACCUGGUUUCUAUGCUGAGAGGUUCUACAAAUUCUGCAGCACAGUUGUCUUCAAGAAGAGCAGCUCAUUACGAUCAUCUCCAUCUAAGAGGGGUCGAGGAGCUCUCUCCAUGUCCAAGUCCAGUGCUGGAGCCAGUUCAGGCCAGCGCCCCUCACUGAGUGAAGAACGACAGGAAAACUUGGACAACUUGGAGAACCUAAGAGGAGCUCGCAACUUCCCCAUGCUGGAAGACAAUGGGAGAGAGCCACCAUGCACUCCUCCUUCAUUUGAAGAUGCUACGACAGCAUCUAUUGCCACCACUCUUUCAUCCAACAACUCCUUACCGACCAGCCCGUUCGACACACCAGAGCAUCCACGCUACAGAAGACAAAUGCAUUCACCAAAUGUGGCCAGGUCACAGAAAGAAGUAGUUGAGGUUCAUGGUGAACGUCAUGACACCAUAACUGUCGAAGUGGAGCUUAGUAAAAUUCCCCAGGCCACGGAGCUAACGCAGAUGACAGAAAUUACUGCUACGAGCCAACAACCUCCUGAUCAUCAGACUCGUGUAGCUGCCUCAUCCUCUGCACACUCCUCCUCUACCCUUCCUCCUCCCUUUACAUCGUCCUCCUCCGCUACUGAUUGUGCUGCCCAGUCAUCCUCCACACUUUCUUCAUCCAUUAGUCCAUCCACCAAACCCCUCAUAUCUCCCGUCGCUACACAGUCUUUCACUCUACCUUCUGUAGUCUCUUAUUCAGGCACACAGUCUACACCCGAUAGUUCAAAUCCAAGCAGUUGUACCCUUCAUCCUGCCUCAGCAUUUACCCCUAUCUGCCCUGCAUCCACCCAGUCCUCUAGCCAGAGCCCCUCUCAUCAUCUCCCAUCAACACCUCCCUCCUCUGCUCCUGCAAGCCCCCAGGUUCCCCAGCAGGCACCACGUAUGUCACGUAAUCAGCUUUCCGUGUCCAGCAGCCACAACUCGUUGGAAGGGGAGGUGCAGGUUUCUGACAUUUACUUUUAUGCAGAUGGCAGAUAUUGGGUGUACUCUCCGGUUCUUGGUCGUCGUAAGCUUAAUUCUAGCUCAAGUUACAAUGUAAGUCACUGGCAAGGUAGAGUUAUUUUAGAGUCAUCUGAAAUACUGGGAGAUGUUGCAUCGCUGGCAGUUCUUCUACGGGGGUUUUCAUUGGCAGUGCUGUUUAUGGAUCUUCAGAAAAACUUAAUGAAACUACAAUCCAUUUCACAUGAGUUAUUUACUGCUGAGGUCUACAGAAAAGGACCCUGCAUAUAAAAAUUGCUUCUUCUGAAGUUCCAUCGUCAGCAUUUUUUUAUUUUUUGUUACAUCUUAGGAGUCAUUUAAAUUUUCAGGAUCUUGGAUGUGUAGUUUGUAAAACGUAGAUGUGUGCUUUCUGUUAUCCAUCAAGUUUCUGCCCUGUAGCUGAAAAGCUGAUUAAUGUUGCCUGUGCCUCUUUUGACUGAAAACUCUCUUGUCGAUAUUCAAAAUUAAGUGAUAAUAAAGCUGCACUUUGAAUAUGUUCAAUCCCCUGAAUUCAGAGUUUCAAUUAAAUUAUUAACAAGGAUACAAAAAGAAUGUGAAUUAACAGAGGGAUGUGCAGCUUUAAAAUGUGCCACAUAUGAUAUGUCUUUGUAGCUCUGUCUCUCACAAUGUUAUGUCAUCUAUUGUCUCCUCUUUUAUUCUGCUGCCCCCUGCUGGCUGUUUUUGAUAUUUCAGACUCAGGAGGACCGGAGCUGGGUGUACUCUCCAUUACAUGGCAGCUCAGAGUCCAGAAGAGACUCAGAUGGGGAGAGUGAAACAUAACUCACAAUGGAGACAGCAAUAAUGGGUGGAGCUAGAGGCUGUCUCUACAUACAAGAGCUGUGAAGUUUUAAUAAUAAAGUCACCAGGAUACUGAAGAUUUACUGCUGGCUGCUUAAGCUGCAUGCGGGAGCCUGUUUUUCUAACCGCAACAAAGACUGAUGGAGUGAAUUAUGCAUUUAAGUGUUAAGUGUGCCAUGAAGCAUUUUGACACAUUCAAAUGAAUGUAAAGAUGGAAUUAUAAACAAAGUAAUAGAAAUCAGUACCUCUGUUUUUGGACAAUCUGAUUUACAUCGAGUGCAGAAAUAGAAAUUAAAUGUUAUAAUCAAGCUACAUGGAACAGUCAAAGAUUUUAGAGUUUUUUUUUUUUCUUUUUUUUUUUGUUUUUUUUGGAAAAGCCAGAUCUGCUGGAUUGGUCAAUCAGAUGCUUAUCAUUUGAUUCUAAUGAAACCAACACAACACAAAUUGAAGGAUAAACUUAAAUGAAGCUGAAAUAAGUUUGAAAGUUUCUUAAGAUACCAUACAUCAUUAUAUUCAUCAGUUUUCAACACCUGCCCAGAGUUGGGAGGCAGCUGUCUAAGCAGGGUAGUUCAACAUCCUUCUCCCCUACCUAUGCAAUAUGUGUUAUUGAUUUCUUUUACUGACUCAGAUGUCAGUACUUCAGACUUUUUUCAUGCAUUCAUUUUUAACUAGGGACAUGUCAGCUCUGUGUUAUUUUAUUUUUAGCACUUUAUCAAUGUACCUGUGGCUGAAAUCAUUUGAAAUCCUGUGUUUUGAUAUCUUGUCUUGAGUUGUCAGUUAAAAAAAAAAAGAAAAAAACAGUCAAUGUUAUGUGUGCUGUGUGUACACAGUGUUGUUAUUCUUCCAGUGGUGGGUGGUGGUCCACUUGAAAUAUUUUAAUCUGACUGAAUGGUUUAGUUCAAACUGCCUUACUUAACUCUAUCAAUUUAUUUUCUUUAAUUUUCCAAUUACAUGUAAGCACUGGCUAAAAUACAAAAAAUGUAAAAGUACAAACAUGCAAAAUGUUUCAUUCUCAAGGAAUACCAAAUAUUUGGAGGAGAGUCUAAACAUUAUAGAGGAAUAUAGCAAAAAUUAUAAUCAAAAUAUUUUUGUAAAUUGUUGAUUUGCAUGUGCUGAAGCACAUGCAUGUAAGUCUGUAUGUGCUCUUACAGUAUGUUUCUGUGUAUGCAUGUGCUUGCAUGCAUAUGAUAUGUGAUCGGAAGACACGUGUAAGACUUUUCUGUCCUGCCUGUUUAUCAAAUUGCCAGAAAGUGUCAUUGUUUUAAGCUGUGAGAGUGUGAACCAGCUAUAAGCAUGUUGGCUGUGUGAGAAAAUAAUACCCAGUUGGCCCAGUCUUGAACCAUAACAGAUUCAUCCCAGUUUACCAAAUUAACAGUGUGCAAAAAUAAAAUAUUCUUACUUUCUAAUACAGUUCAUGAAGAAAAGACUUACAUCUUCCUUAAAGUGUGACACCUGAUGAAACAAGACUAAUGAAAAUUAGACUCUCUUUCUGUUUCUGUAAGCAACACUUUACCAAGUUACUGGACUGAGUCUUAACAUCAACCUGCAAUGGUGUGUGUAGCUUAUCACUGUGAAAAUAAAAUAAAGACUAUAUUGCGUAAAUUA